rnacentral:rRNA from 1 species
GACGAACGCUGGCGGCGUGCCUAAUACAUGCAAGUCGAACGCAUCUUUCCUACCGAGUGCUUGCUCUUAAUUGGAGAGAGGGGUGGCGGAAGGGUGAGUAACACUAGCGUAACCUAUCGAAUAGAGUGGGGUAACAGUAGGUAAUAGGGGCUAAUAUUGUAUACCAGAUUAUGCCACAUUGCAUAAGAGUGUUAGGCGCUCUUGGGUGUGGAUCCGCGCUGCAUUAGCGGGUUGGUAAGGUGACGGCUUACCAAGGCAACGAUGCAUAGCCGACCUGAGAGGGUGAUCGGCCACACUGGAACUGAGACACGGCCCAGACUCCUACGGGAGGCAGCAGUAGGGAAUCUUCGGCAAUGGACGAAAGUCUGACCGAGCAACGCCGCGUGAGUGAUGAAGGUUUUCGGAUCGUAAAACUCUGUUGUUAGAGAAGAACAAAGACGUUAGUAACUGAGCGUCCCCUGACGGUAUCUAAUCAGAAAGCCACGGCUAACUACGUG